GGAGAUCGUUUGUGGUGGAGCAGGACCUGCAAGGAAAGGAUCUGAAAUGUCUGCAGACUGGUGUGAGCAGUGAGGAUGGGAAGCUCACAGCAGCAUCCUGCAAAUGGUCCAGUGUCGCGGAUGAGACGCUCCAUCACUCCACCUCUUACUGUCUCAUCUGGACCAGAUGUUGCUGUGGUCUCUUCAUCCUCAGUGACCCCAGAGCCAGCUGGAGCGUCUAGAGAAACACCAAAAGACACUGAGGAUGGACCUACAAUCCCCUGGAACAACCUGGAUUGCUCAGGGACAUACUGGUGGUUUUGAACCAGCAACCUUCUGCUCACCAGUUCAGUGGUUUAGCCCACUACAAAAGUAGUCGUGCUUAAUGGAGAGCAGACACACACAUGUUUGGAGCAGACACAGUGGCAGCCAGAUUGUCCCGCAUGUGUGCCCCU